GCCAGUUCGCUCGCAGGGCCCGCGGGGCGCCUGCGCUCACACGCUCGCCCUCAGGUCCCGCCCGGCUGAGGUGCUGCUGCUAGAGCGGAGAGCCGAGACGUGGCUCCUGGGCGGAAGGGUCAUGUUGGACUUCGCGAUCUUCGCCGUCACCUUCCUGCUGGCGUUGGUGGGAGCGGUGCUCUACCUCUACCCGGCUUCCAGACAAGCUGCAGGAAUUCCAGGGAUUACUCCCACUGAAGAAAAAGAUGGUAAUCUUCCAGAUAUUGUGAACAGUGGAAGUUUGCACGAGUUCCUGGUUAAUUUGCAUGAGAGAUAUGGGCCUGUGGUCUCCUUCUGGUUUGGCAGGCGCCUUGUGGUUAGUUUGGGUACUGUUGAUGUAUUGAAGCAGCAUAUCAACCCCAACAAGACUUCGGACCCUUUUGAAACCAUGCUCAAGUCAUUAUUAAGGUAUCAGUCUGGUGUUGGGAAUGUGAGUGAAAACUACAUGAGGAAAAAAUUGUGUGAAAAUGGUGUGACUAAUUCUCUGCAGAGCAAUUUUACUCUCCUGCUAAAGCUUUCAGAAGAAUUAUUGGAUAAAUGGCUCUCCUAUCCAGAGUCCCAGCAUGUACCUCUUUGCCAGCAUAUGCUUGGUUUUGCUAUGAAGUCUGUUACACAGAUGAUAAUGGGUAGUACAUUUGAAGAUGACAAGGAAGUCAUUCAUUUCCAGAAGAAUCAUGGCACAGUUUGGUCUGAGAUUGGAAAAGGCUUUCUAGAUGGAUCACUUGAUAAAAGUACAACUAGGAAAAAACAAUAUGAAAAUGCCCUUAUGCAAAUGGAAAAUACUUUAAAGAAAAUCAUAAAAGAACGAAAAGGAAGGGGCUUCAGUCAACAUAUUUUCAUUGACUCCUUAGUACAGGGGAACCUUAAUGACCAACAGAUCCUAGAAGACAGUGUGAUAUUUUCUCUGGCCAGUUGCAUAAUAACUGCAAAAUUGUGCACCUGGGCAAUCUGUUUUUUAACCACUUCUGAAGACAUUCAGAAUAAACUAUAUGAAGAGAUAGACCGGGUUUUUGGGAAGGGUCCUGUUAAUCCAGAGAAAAUUGAGCAACUCAGAUAUUGUCGGCAAGUGCUUUGUGAAUCUGUUCGGACUGCCAAACUGACCCCAGUUUCUGCCCGGCUUCAAGAUAUUGAAGGAAAGAUUGACAAAUUCAUUAUUCCUCGAGAGACCCUUGUCCUUUAUGCCCUUGGUGUGGUACUUCAGGAUCCUAAUACUUGGCCAUCACCACUCAAGUGGACUGAAGGAGCGCUCAGAAAGCCAGGAAUGUGUCCUCUCUCCGGCUGCCAUGCAGCAAAGUAUGACUGCUGCUGGGCUGAGCAGCCACGUUUGAUCCAGACCGGUUUCAUGAUGAAUCAGUAAUGAAAACUUUUUCCUUGCUUGGAUUCUCAGGCACACAGGAAUGCCCAGAGUUAAGGUUUGCAUAUAUGGUGACUACAGUACUUCUGAGUGUAUUGGUGAGGAGACUGCACCUAUUUUCUGUGGAGGGACAAGUUAUUGAGACUAAGUAUGAACUGGUAACAUCAUCCAAGGAAGAAGCUUGGAUCACUGUCUCAAAGAGAUAUUAAAAUUUUAUACAUUUAAUUUUGUUGAGGAAAAUAAUUGUUUAGAAAAUCUGUAUUGAAUCCUUUUAUAAACCAAGUAUCAUUGUGUAAUAUAAACAACUGUUACUCCAUUAUAUAAAUUUGGAUUUUCUUAAUUCAUGAUACACAUGUAUACUUAUAUCAGUGUGAUAAUUUUAAUGGGAAGCUUCCUACUUUUAAUAUUGGUUUUAUCACUUUUAUGUCAUUAUUUUUUAAUUUUUUUUUUAGUUGAUGUCCAAUAUUAGUAUUUUUGGAGAGAGAAAUUAUUUUGCACAGUUUUGGGGAUCACAUUUUCUACUUGUUCAUAAGAGAGACAUAAUCCUAACUCCUUUUCAUAUAUCCAGCAAUUCACCCUAAAGCAAAAACAAAAGGGACUUACUAGAAUUUUAUUUCUUUACUAAUAUUUUUAUUUUCUGAGUGUAAAUUAGUUUGUAUUCAAUCAUUGUUGUUAGGGGUGAAUAACCUAUCAUGUAUUUGCUCUUUUUAUGCUUCCCCAGACAAUCAUGUUCAUUUCAUGACUUAUAUGUACAAGGCUCAUCAUUUUGAACAGUUCUGAAUCAUUUGGAAAAUAAUAUAGUUUAUUUUUGUAUGUGCUUUGAAGUGCUCCUCAUAGUCAAACUGAGAUUGAGGCUUGUCUCUCCUGUUUUACUGGAAAUCAUAUUAGCACUAUAUUACUCCACUAAUUCUCAUUUGUGGAGAAAACAGAGUUCCUAAAUUUGUAAUUUAUUAUUAUGUCAUAUACUAAACUUAAUGAACAUAUGAGAGUUCUAACCAAAACCCAAAAUCAAAUUAAAAAAAGAGAAAACAAAGAUGAGUGAAAAUAUUUGCAAAAUACAUGACUGAAAGGGGUAAUUUACAUAUUAUGUAUGAAGAGCUUAUACAGAUUGGGAAACAUACAGUAGAUAAAUGGACAAAGGGUAUGAAUAAGCAGGUUUUACAGAAGGAAAUAGCUAAUAAACAUAUAAAAAAUGGUAUCAAAAAAAUAUUGGGGUUAUUUUUAAGUAUCUUUCAAAACAUACUUUAUUACUCAUAAGUUUUAUAUUUAAUAAUUUUUUUGAUAGCAUUGUAUGUUAGUCCUCCUUUUUUGGUUACACUGUUCUUGAAGAUUUCUUUUUUAUAAAUACAUUUUGUUCAGAUAGCAACUGAAGGAAAUACGCCAAAUUCAAAUAGGAGAGGAAGAAAAAUCAUAAAUGUUUGCAAGUGGGCUUAUUUUUGACACUGCUGAAUUUCACUUGUACUUGAGUUUCAAGAAUGUACCCUAGUUAUUGAGCUAUUUUAUGCUGUUUAUGGUCUAAUAGGUAACACUUUAGUUGGAGUGGUUAACAGAGAGCUUAAGUGGUUAGAUGCAGACUUUAUUUCUGACAAAAAUAUUUAAUUUAUGGAAUAAUUUAAAUUAUAAAACUUUAAGUGAAAUGUAUUCUUAGUACUUAGCAGCAUGUUUCUAAAAAGUCCUAUUGUUAAUUUUUUCUCUCCUACCUAUCGUUUUCUAUAGUUUUGUAUAUGGAGAAUAUCUUCAUUUGUUAUCCAGGUACCUUGACUGGUUUAGAGAUAGGCUGCGAAAAAAGUUAGAAUAGGCAAUUGAUAUGUAAACUGAAUGUCAAUAAAGUUAAGUGAGGGUAAGUGGAAUUUUAAAGUAAGCAAAAUCUGAUCAGCAAUGAUCAGGGCACAAAAAGGAGGCUGAGCCAAGAGUCAGGGAGUUGGCAUAUGGCCAAUAAAUGAAGCAAUGUAUAAUACUAGUGAUGAUUUGAAUCAAGGAAAAUAGAGGAUAGAAGAAUCAGCUAAACACAUUUUAUCCAUACUUAUAUGACUAAAGCCAUUUAAAAAUUAUCUUCUUGAGGAUUUUUAAAAAAUAAAAUACUGCUAAUUAUGUAUAAAAUAAGUUAUCCAUUCACUAUUGUUCCUACUUGGCUCUUUGUAUUUAUUAAAUGAAGUUUUAGUAGUUUUAGUGUCACUGAUGGCAGGGCUGUUAAAUUUUGUUGAUUUUUGGUUCUUUUAAACUAGCUCUUCAUUUUUUUUAUCUGCAUUCUUUUUGAUAGUUCAGAAAUCUAUUGUUAAAAACAUCAGCAUAACAAACACAUGUUUUAUGGAAUGAAAGGGCUCUUCCAUACUUGGUGCUAAUAAAAUUCAAGGUAGAAUUAACUCUGUGCCUUUGUUUGGGAAAAAUUAAAAAUUCGCAUGCUGUUUACCUGGCCCACAA